rnacentral:rRNA from 1 species
UACGGGGGGGGCAAGCGUUGUUCGGAAUUACUGGGCGUAAAGGGCUCGUAGGUGGCCAACUAAGUCAGACGUGAAAUCCCUCGGCUUAACCGGGGAACUGCGUCUGAUACUGGAUGGCUGGAGUUUGGGAGAGGGAUGCGGAAUUCCAGGUGUAGCGGUGAAAUUCGUAGAUAUCAGGAGGAACACCAGUGGCGAAGGCGGCUUCCUGGACACCAACUGACGCUGAGACGCGAAAGCGUGGGGAGCAAACAGG